CAUUGUAAGUUGGCACUGUCACUUGACAUUGUAUCUUACAACUGCAUUGCUCAGUCUGCAGUGACAGAGUUCCCAGUCCCAAUUGCUAUUGCCAGUAAUCCCUGUUGGAUACAGAUAAAAACAUCAAUGAAGGUGCUUUUGCUAACUUGCACCUGGCAAGCAGACUGCCAAAAAAAAGACAAAUCUGUUGCUUGAUCUUGGGAAAUAAGUGGGAUGUUAGAGCCUACAGAGAAAUUGGCUAAGAAGAUGAAUAAUAAUUAUUUUAAAUCAAAACUUUAAGGAAAUAUGAGCAAGGAGAUCUACUAAUUGAAAGGAACAUUGAAGUUAUUACCUAUUGAGUUUGUUUCCUACUCUACAAGCUGAGAUACCUAUUGUAAGAAACUGAAAAGAUUUCUGUCUAUUCUGAAGAGGGUCCCACACCUCAUCCUAUAUCAAUUUAGUUACGCCAUGUGGCUAAUAAAAUAAAAUAAAAUAAAAUAUCUAUUUAGAUAAGAGUCAGAA